GAAAACUUGAAGGAUGUGCUUUUGGGCACUAGAGCAAAGGCUCCCCAACUUCUCUCCAGUUUCCCAAGCAAUGACGUCUUAGGAUGGGUUCAUCCAUGGACCUCCUCCUGGCUAGCGGCCUAUUAAUUUUACUGUCGCUGCAACAGCAUGGCCACUGACAGAUGUGUGGUGUAGGUCUGCACUGGGGAACCGAACCCUAGCCGUAGAAGUGGAGCGCAUGGAACUUAACCACUAGGCCACUGGGGCUGGCCCUCUGGCCGGUUUCAAUGAAAGUGUAUUUGAAUUACCUUUUGGGUGGUCUCCAG
rnacentral:lncRNA from 1 species